AACGAACGCUGGCGGCAGGCUUAACACAUGCAAGUCGAGCGCACCGCAAGGUGAGCGGCAGACGGGUGAGUAACGCGUGGGAAUCUACCCAACCCUACGGAAUAACCCAGGGAAACUUGGACUAAUACCGUAUACGCCCUUUUGGGGAAAGAUUUAUCGGGGAUGGAUGAGCCCGCGUUGGAUUAGCUAGUUGGUGGGGUAAAGGCCUACCAAGGCGACGAUCCAUAGCUGGUCUGAGAGGAUGAUCAGCCACAUUGGGACUGAGACACGGCCCAAACUCCUACGGGAGGAGGCAGUGGGGAUUAUUGGACAUUGGGCGAAAGCCUGAUCCGGCCUGGCGGGGUGAGUGAUGAAGGCCUUGGGUUUGUAAGGCUCUUCAGUAGGGAAGAUAAUGACGGUACCUACAGAAGAAGCCCCGGCUAACUUCGUG
rnacentral:rRNA from 1 species